rnacentral:misc_RNA from 1 species
GGUGCCUUUGCCCCAAAGUAUCCCCCAAUUAGGGUAAGAGGAACAGAGAUGCAGAACCAGAGCAAAAUCAGAAUGACAAACAAUGAGAAUGGAAUGGCUCCUGUGCUGUGACUACCCCACAGUAGGAAAUUCAAAAUGGUUAGAAUAAAAAAGGCGAUACCAGGGAAAAAACAUGCAGCCCUCCAGGAAACUGAAAUCCAUCUUUUGUGAUCGCCACAUCCAAUAGUCCUCCAAAGGCGAACUGCUACAUGACUGCCACAUAGCCAGCUGCAAUACCAAGUAUCAUGUAGAAUAUAAGCAUACCUGUAAUAAGAGUUCCACGGGAAGCUGGUGACAUGAA